UAAAAAAACAAACCCUGGUUUCCGUGUCCAACGUUUGACCGGCCGUUUUAUUUGAAAAAAUUAUGAAAAAAAUUAAAAAGAUAAGUCACGCAUAAAGUAUUAAUCAUAUUUUAUCAUUUAACAACAAUGAAAAUACUAUUUAUAAAAAAAUUUAUAAGACGGAUAGUCAAACGUUGGCACGGAAAUCCAGUAUUUGAUUUUUU
rfam:Oryza sativa Japonica Group DNA, chromosome 6, cultivar: Nipponbare, complete sequence.